rnacentral:rRNA from 1 species
GACGAACGCUGGCGGCGUGCUUAACACAUGCAAGUCGAACGGAAAGGCCUUUUCGGAGGUACUCGAGUGGCGAACGGGUGAGUAACACGUGGGUGAUCUGCCCUGCACUCUGGGAUAAGCCUGGGAAACUGGGUCUAAUACCGGAUAGGACCGCACUUUAGUGUGUGUGGUGGAAAGUUUUUUCGGUGUAGGAUGAGCCCGCGGCCUAUCAGCUUGUUGGUGGGGUAAUGGCCUACCAAGGCGGCGACGGGUAGCCGGACUGAGAGGUUGGUCGGCCACAUUGGGACUGAGAUACGGCCCAGCCGCCUACGGGAGGCAGCAGUGGGGAAUAUUGCACAAUGGGCGCAAGCCUGAUGCAGCGACGCCGCGUGGGGGAUGACGGCCUUCGGGUUGUAAACUCCUUUCGCCAGGGACGAAGCGUUUUGUGACGGUACCUGGAGAAGAAGCACCGGCUAACUACGUG